rnacentral:rRNA from 1 species
GUGACUGCGUACCUUUUGUAUAAUGGGUCAGCGACUUAUAUUCUGUAGCAAGGUUAACCGUAUAGGGGAGCCGGAGGGAAACCGAGUCUUAAUUGGGCGUUAAGUUGCAGGGUAUAGACCCGAAACCCGGUGAUCUAGCCAUGGGCAGGUUGAAGGUUGGGUAACACUAACUGGAGGACCGAACCGACUAAUGUUGAAAAAUUAGCGGAUGACCUGUGGCUGGGGGUGAAAGGCCAAUCAAACCGGGAGAUAGCUGGUUCUCCCCGAAAGCUAUUUAGGUAGCGCCUCGUGAAUUCAUCUCCGGGGGUAGAGCACUGUUUCGGCUAGGGGGCCAUCCCGGCUUACCAACCCGAUGCAAACUGCGAAUACCGGAGAAUGUUAUCACGGGAGACACACGGCGGGUGCUAACGUCCGUCGUGAAGAGGGAAACAACCCAGACCGCCAGCUAAGGUCCCAAAGUCAUGGUUAAGUGGGAAACGAUGUGGGAAGGCCCAGACAGCCAGGAUGUUGGCUUAGAAGCAGCCAUCAUUUAAAGAAAGCGUAAUAGCUCACUGGUCGAGUCGGCCUGCGCGGAAGAUGUAACGGGGCUAAACCAUGCACCGAAG